rnacentral:misc_RNA from 1 species
AAAAGAAUGAAAAUACUAUUCAUGUAGAUUGAACUUGCUAGGGUAGAACUAAGAAGUAAAAUGUAAUUUCAAAUACAUUCCCUGAUAAAUUAUAAAACCCAUGUGAAUGCAACAUUGCAAGUAUCCUCUGACCAACAAAAAGCUAACCAAUAUGAAAUUUGAUCAACACAGAUUAUUCAAAAUACAUCAGUUCAAUUAUAUCACUGUUUGUCAUAUCACUUCAAAGUUGCAUUACUGGAUUAUUAAUUCAGAAAUUUGGCAAGAUUAAAGAAAAUAAACCUCUAAGCACAUUUACUAGAGAUCCGGCAUGUGAAGCUGAAUGCAUGGCAUAUGUUGUCUCUGCAUCAUCGUCCAAAAUAGGCGAAAUUGUCUACUAAUUUGUCCAACAUCAUCAAUGUUGUGGCUGUGAUGGUCGACGGAGUCCAGGUAUCUCAACUCCAUGAGGCCCUAUGCGGUUGCGGGAUAUAAAAUUAACAAUGAGCGUUGCAAAUUCAUCAGGUACAUCUUCCUGUAUAGCAUGUCCGGUAUGUCGGACAACCACCAUUUGGAACUUCCCUUGCAUUUGGCCAAUUGUAAGAGCUCUGUUGCAAAACAGAGCAAAGAAAAUCUCAGAAUAAAAACUUUUACCAGUCUUGCAAUUCCACAACCUAUCACACAGAAUGCUCCCCACUACUAAAUAAGUAACUGCUCCUAAAAAAGCACCAUUCAGACAUUUAGUGCCAUGGAAUACAAGGAUUAAAAGUAGCUAAAAAGAUGAGUAAACUUUCACAAUCAUGCACUUCACUAACAUCAUGUCAAAAAUCUGUUCAGUGCCAUAUAUUCCAUACUGCUAUUUUAUUUAAAUGUAAGUGAUUGUAUAAUGAUGUCAUAAAAAACCUUCUAUAUAUAAUUUGAGGCAAGUUCAAAAGCACAACCUGUCAAGUCUAUCUGUUCCUGCUAAAAGUAAGAGUUUUGGAACAGGAGAUGACAGAAAUUUUUCUGAAAGGCCUUCAUACCAUCCUCUCCAAUAUUGUUCUGUUUCCUCCAGACGUGCUCUAUAAACAUAACAUUUCUUUGAAUCAUCAUACUUUAAAGUGGUAGGCACAGAUAUGCGGGCAGAAUCAAUGUUUCUUAAAGAACCUCCCUUGACACUCCAUUCUACCUGCGCAAAAGCAUUUGUUUCCAAUUCACUAACAUUUCAAACUUCACCAGCAUGCAUAAGCUUCAGUGAAAGUAUAUCCCUAGCUGUCUGACAACCAGUAAUUUCUAAAUUCCAGGAUAUUGAAAGUAGGCUAGAAGGUAACCAAACAUUGGAUACAGCUAUGUGGGUAUGUUAUGUGUCAACUAGUAAUAUAGUGUUCAGAGAACUUUACAGUUUACAUAAUGUUUCAGAAUAUUAGACACAAAAAUAUCAGGAGUCCUGCAAUAAUUGAUGCAAUAAAAAAUAUUUAAACUUUUUCAUAGCAAUUAGUAAAAUAAUCAGUUCUCCACAGAUAAUCAUUUGAUUCAAAACUUGAAUUGUAUGAUUCUAUUUUAUUGAAGCACCAAAUGACUUGAAUUGAGCAUGCAAAUCAAAAUUGCACAAAAUCAUAGAUGAACCUUACAGAUUAACUUUUGUGAAUUUCAUGAUUCGAAAAUUGAAUGGGUAGAAAUGUUAUUUUAAUCUUUUUUUUUCUGGUAUUUCCACUCUUAUUCGCUAUCUUGCUCUCUUCCUCAGUUCCCAAUUAUUUCUUUUUUCUUUCUUAUCUCCCUCCCCUAUUUUCCUUUCUUUUCUCGUUCAUUGUUUUCUUUAUUUCGUUUCUUUUUCUUCCCUAUGCUCUCCCAAGAAAAAGGGGAUAUGUAAAAAUGAAGCUUAUAAGUGGUCUUGAUUUAGUUUAUGUUGGUUUUGUUUGUAUUUUGAAGAUGACAAAGCCCAUAAAGGGAAAAACUUUCCUACUUUAUAUAAUAUAUAGGGCACAAAAAUACUGUAGAUGUAAAUAAUGGAAACUAAAUCUAUAUUUGAUAGGUGAAAUUAUCAAAGUACAAAAGCCAUAAUUGGAAAAUAAAUGUUGUGUAUAUGUCUAUUUGCAUGUCUAGAUGAUGUGUAAUGCAGAUUGCAAACAUUCCUGCUAUCACAUUUCUAUGAGAGCAUGUUUCGUUAUGUAUUGCAUUUCUGAUUUGCCAUGCAGUCAUUAAACCCAACUCAACUCAACUCAACU